UCUCUUUCUUCAAUUAAAGUUAAAGAAAAAAUGGAUGUUUUACUCGGUGAGUAAUUAUUUUCCAUUCAACCUAACAAAUAUUUUCAUGAUACUCUUAAAUACCAGGUCGGGAAGACGCGGAACUGAAACAUUUGUAGAAAAAAGGGAGAUGAAGAUCUUCGGGAAGCGAAUAUUUCCAAGACAAGUCCUGCUUUUAGCUUCUGGGAUCCUGUUCCUGGGUUCGACAACGUACGACGUUCACAGAUCGAUAAAGCAAAAUGAAACACCGCCAUCGGCAGAGCAACUCCGGGAACUCGAAGACUACCUCAGCUCUGUUCGCCGUCCUCCUAACUAAUACGUGACUCGAUCUGCACGGUUCAAAUUUGGCCACGUAUGGUGUAUUUCUUCUUUUUAAUUUUAUUAACAACCAUUUAGUAUUUUCUUUUAAUAUAUGUAUUACUAUAUUGCGUUUGGAAUUUGAGUUUUGAAAACUCCAGCUCUUACAAGUUACAAUCCUUUUGAGGGGAGAUAUACAUAAUUGUUUAUCCCCGGGGGUAAGAGUUAAAUCUAUCAUUCGGGGGACUAAUGAUGGAUAAAUCAUACCCGGACUCGUCACGGGGCUAACACGAAGAGUGGGUCGAGAAGCGAUCAACCUGGGAGCACGACCCGGGUCCAUUCGGACCAUGGGCCGACCUCCACCAGGUCGGAGGGGCCGACCUCUGGGGGUCCUUGGAGCUGAGCCCCGUGCUCGGCCCAGGACCCCGAGUCUUGGUUGGGCGCGGUCUUUCAGGCGCAAGACGCGGUCCAAGGCUGUUAGAGUGGUUUUCUCCGAGUUUUUGGGCCUACAACUAUAGUAUAUAAACAUGCAAUAUUGUCCAAAUAAGACAUCUUCAUCUACUUUGUGCUAACGACAUUCUUGUCAUAUUAUUACAUAAUCUUGUAAUAACUUUAUCCUUUAUUCAAUAUAUAGAAUGCCUCUGAAGUA